AUCGGCCAGCCGCUCAAUCCCGGCGUGCUCGGGAACCGGGGAACCAUCCACGUGGAGCGAUCCACGUACGGGGUGAAUCCGCCGCAGGUACGGUGGUAGGGCGUCUCCUGGCCCGAAUCCGUCAGCUAACCCGGUAGGCGGUCAAGGAGAAGGGUC
rnacentral:sRNA from 2 species